AGAAUCAGCUGGACCUGCUACUGAGCCACAUAAAUCAAAUUCAUGCUGAUCACUGUGUAGGGAAAAAUCCUCAUCUUCUUCACGAUGUAUGAGAGUUUAGAGGGGACAUAUAGAAAGAAAAUUUCCAAGGAGUCCUCUGCAGAGAUUGCCUAAAUAUUCUACAAGUCUCCCAAUAGAAAUGGCUCCAAUGCCAUAAGAGACACCCCUUCACCCAGCUUUGGCCUUCCCUACAGAGACUGAGGAAGGGCUGAGGGGAGGGGGAAAACCUCAGGGUGCCAAGGAAGAUGUACUCUUCCCACUGGAGCAGUACAGAGCGACCAGCAGGCAGCACAGACAGCCCAAGGGGACCAGUGAAACUUGAGGGUACAAGCACCAUCACGACUAGAUUUCAGGCACUUAUUUCUGGAAUUACUAUAACUGCUAAUCAUAAACGUAUAUAAAGUGAUGACUGCAGCAUCUGUGUGAAUAAGAUAUUUGUAAUACAAUUGCUGGAGGGAAAGGGCAUCAUUAAUGUCCUGCAGUUCUUUAAACUACUUCUCAGUUCUGAUCAGUAACAGAAGUAUUAUUUUCUCCUUUGCAUUCUAACUUGAUUAAGUGACUGUUAAACCCAAGUCUAUAACACACCCCUGGGGAGAAUGUAGAUAUUUGAAAAAGCCAAGGUUAAUGAUCACACAAACCAACUUCAUUUUCUAAAGGAUGUGUCUGUGCAUCUCAGAAGUAAAGGGCAGGGGGAGUUGGAAAAAAUAAAUGGCAACUCUUGGCUAUAUCUCCAUCAGAAAAUGUGACUCUACAAUGUUGUUGGGGUUUCACAGAGACAGAAUUCAGAUGAGGAUUUUGUUAUGAUCAAUAAAAUGUUAUUAACGUUUUUUGAAUCAAGACCUUAUUAAAGACAAGAAUCCUCAGGUGGGUUUUGUUGAUAUCAUUACCCUUUAGAGAGUUAUGAGUCAGUACCAGUUUCAUCUCACUGAAGCCAACCUCUGCAGCCUUUACUGUGGAACUGGUGUAUGAAACACAAUACUCAUUUUCUGUAAUAGUCUUGUUAGGUAAAAUUCACUGGCAUUUCAGUAAAUCAACCUACAAACAAAUUAUGCUGGAAUAUUUGUGAGCCUUCUGUUGAAUAUACGUUUUCACUUGAGGCAGUAUAGCUGUAAGUUUGCAGUCCAGCAAUUGAUCCACAUAGUUUGCUCUCUUAAUGGUGUUGGUUGUGACUGAAACUUAAUUCUACAUGACAUUUCUACAUGCCAUAUAUUACCAGCAAAAUAAAGAAUUAGUGUUAAUACAUGUAUCUUUUAUUUUAAUUUAAAUAACCAGUUUAUAACUGUAUUUAAACUGAAGUAUAUUAUUACUUUAAACUUCCAAAUUCACUUUCAUGCACAAGUUAAAAAAAGAUCA